rnacentral:rRNA from 1 species
GACGAACGCUGGCGGCGUGCCUUAUACAUGCAAGUAGGACGCAGUUGCGAACGGGUGAGUAACGCGUAGGUAACUACCUAUUAGAGGGGGCUCACUAUUGGAAACGAUAGCUAAUACCGCAUACUAGUCGAUGGACCUGCGUUGUAUUAGCUAGUAGGUAGGGUAAUGGCCUACCUAGGCAACGAUACAUAGCCGACCUGGUGUGGGUGUCGGGCACACUGGGAACGAGACAAGGGCCAGACUCCUACGGGAGGCCGCAGUAGGGAAUCUUCGGAAAAUGGGGGAACCCUGACCGAGCAGCGCCGCGGUGUUGAAGAAGGUUUUCGGGUCUUAAAGCUCUGGUGGUAAGGAAACGGUACUUAACCAGAAAGGGACGGCUAACUACGUGCCAGCAGCCGCGGUAAUUC